CCAAGGCAGCAAAUAUCUUGGCCUUCUACUCUGGUUCUGCAAAGAGAUUGUCUGUCCACUUCUCUGGAUACCAUCAACACAUUUAAACACCUCCCACAUAUUUAAAACUAUAAAUAGCAACAAUAGUCUCUUUUUAGCCUGCAGGAGAGCUGCAUUAAAUUACUUAUAGCUCAGGGGAGUGUGAGUGGGCAAAGUGGAACACUGUACAAAUUGACUUUGCUUUCUUUUGAUAGUUAAUAACUUAGUUUUGCAUUCAGUGUGGAAAGUUUGGAAGAGAGAUUUGCUAUUUUAACAGAAGCAUGGAGCAAAGCGCUUUAUCUAACCCAGGCACAGCUCAGCCAGAGGUUUCACAGUGCAAGGACUUGGAUCACAGAACAGGGACUUCAGAAGAGACCAACAGCUCUGUGCCGUCCAGAGGUGAAAGUGAGGCUCCACAGGAUGAGCUCACAAAUUUGGGUGGAACCAAGGUGGAACAACGGGUGAAAUAUGUGGAAGACAAACUCAGGGAAAUGAAUGCUCGAUUUGAAGGUGCAGAGAAACGACUAGAGGUUUUGCAAGAACGGCUCAGUCAGGAAGCAGCAAGUGAGACUGAUUGCUGUGGCUCCAGAUCGCAGGAAGCCUCCAACAAUAGUCAGUGCUUUGCAAUUCAGAACCCUGGAUUGGAAUCUGUCUUGGCCAAUGCAAUGAGAAGCCAUAAGUUCUCUGAGUACCUGAAUGACCCUUGUCAAGAAGCAGAUGCGCUGGAAAUGUACAACGGGCUCAGGACACAUGAAUGGGAGAAAGCCAAAUGUGCUGCAAGUGGCUCUGCCUUCCCAAUGACUUAUGAAAAAGGCUGUGUUUUCCAUAUGUGAAGAAGACCUGUCACAAAGACUGAAGCAUAUUUUUGAACUCCUUGAGAUUCCAGUUUCAAAGAAAACCACAAGCCUCUUUGACAGCCAACAGCUGCCCCCUGGGCUGGCAAGAGAGAUAAAGAAUCACCUUAAAAAUCUCUAUUUUAACUAUGGAGAAGACUUUUACCAAGCCAAGAGUAGGCCUUCGCUUCCUCCUGAUCUACAGAUGUUUCAGCCACUUGUACAUUUCACAGCAGAGUGCUACAAAAUUUACUGUUUGUUGCUUCUUCAGAACCCACCCAUUAAAGCUGUGUGGCCCACAGAGGAAAAAAUCCCAAUCUCUUGCAUACAGCAUGUGGACAAUAAAAACGUGGAGGAUAGGAUGCCAUUAAACUUUCUGUGGCCCGUGCUGGCAUGUGGGAGACUAGUAUUUAAGAAAGCUGUAAUCUAUGAUUAAAUGGAAUGGCUGUUUGGAAUCUGAUUAUACCUCUGUGUUAUAAAACAAUUAAAAAAAAAUAGUGAAAGAGCA